UACGUAGGGGGCAAGCGUUGUCCGGAAUUAUUGGGCGUAAAGGGCGUGUAGGCGGCUCGGUAAGUCUGCUGUGAAAGUCCAGGGCUCAACCCUGGAAUGCCGGUGGAUACUGUCGAGCUCGAGUCCGGAAGAGGCGAGUGGAAUUCCUGGUGUAGCGGUGAAAUGCGCAGAUAUCAGGAGGAACACCAAUGGCGAAGGCAGCUCGCUGGGACGGUACUGACGCUGAGACGCGAAAGCGUGGGGAGCAAACAGG
rnacentral:rRNA from 1 species